AACCGUGGUAAUUCUAGAGCUAAUACAUGCCAAAAACCUCGACUUCCGAAGGGGUGUAUUUAUUAGAUAAAAAACCAAUGCCCUCCGGGGCUCCUUGGUGAUUCAUGAUAACUCAACGAAUCGCAUGGCCUUGCGCCGGCGAUGGUUCAUUCAAAUUUCUGCCCUAUCAACUUUCGAUGGUAGGAUAGUGGCCUACCAUGGUCUCAACGGGUAACGGGGAAUUAGGGUUCUAUUCCGGAGAGGGAGCCUGAGAAACGGCUACCACAUCCAAGGAAGGCAGCAGGCGCGCAAAUUACCCAAUCCCAAUUCGGGGAGGUAGUGACAAUACAUACUGAUACAGGGCUCUUUCGGGUCUUGUAAUUGGAAUGAGUACAAUCUAAAUCCCUUAACGAGGAACAAUUGGAGGGCAAGUCUGGUGGACCUAGGUCCUUAGCUGACGCCAGACUUGAAGUGGGAGUUUUAUUCAAUAGACCCCACUUGCAGUGGAUAUGGUUUUUACCCAUCUGCGAGAUGCCCGGUACGGGGAAAGCUUUAACCGUCUGUGGAUGGUCCGCUUAUCCCGUGGUUCAAGUCGGGGCGUUGAUGGUUCAUCAGCGCCUCUUAGCUUGUUCUGUAACGCACGCCAGGUCAUCGCCAUCCGUAGAGAGCAGCUACCAUGCCUUCUGGGUGGUUCAGGUACGUGCUAAUCCCCCCCGCGGAGGGAGUCUCGGCCCGUUACAAGGGUCGAGAUUUGGGAAGGAGGGUUGCGUCUGGUCGGGUGUAUCAUGCACCGCCGGCAACCACGUUGGGUUCACGGGUUCUUGUAGCGGAUUAGGUCAUUAGAUGUCGUGGUUGGCACUUGCUUCUAAUAGUCAGUUAAUCCGACAAGAAUCCGCCGUCCGCUCUCAAAAAUGUCUCUGCCCCUGUCCCACUCACCUCAAAUCAUAUGCCCAGUGCCUUUCGAUCCCGGUCAAAGCCACGAUGAAGCGUGUAGCCUCGUGGAAAUUGAUGCUAAUUGGGUUACCUUCUAGUGCGGUUGAAGCGAACGAAGCCGAGAGAGAAGAGCCCAGCGACUCUUCUGUUGGUGGGAGUUGAAGGGGGUCGUGUGUUGUUGAGGGGGGAUUUCAUAGUUUUUAACAAUUCCCAGCAGGCUAUUUUAGGAUCAGCAGGAGAAAAGACAUGUCUGAGAUUGCGGUUAUCUGUUGCCCUCGGGGCAAUCAGAUAUUGAACUUGAUGUCCCUGUCGAUUAUCGCCGAAGCUCCUGAAUCAGCAAACGGCACAAUCAAACACCUCAGGGCUCCGAAUGAUGGCCAGCAGCCGCGGUAAUUCCAGCUCCAAUAGCGUAUAUUAAAGUUGUUGCAGUUAAAAAGCUCGUAGUUGAACUUUGGGCCUGGCUGAUCUGUCUUCCUAAACGUUGUACGGAUUCGGUCGGGCCUUUCCUUCUGGGGAAUCCUAUGUCCUUGAUUGGGCGUAGCGGGGAACCAGGACUUUUACCUUGAAAAAAUUAGAGUGUUCAAAGCAGGCCUUUGCUCGAAUACAUUAGCAUGGAAUAAUGAAAUAGGACAGCAGUUCUAUUUUGUUGGUUUCUAGGACCGCUGUAAUGAUUAAUAGGGAUAGUCGGGGGCGUCAGUAUUCAAUUGUCAGAGGUGAAAUUCUUGGAUUUAUUGAAGACUAACUAUUGCGAAAGCAUUCGCCAAGGAUGUUUUCAUUAAUCAGUGAACGAAAGUUAGGGGAUCGAAGACGAUCAGAUACCGUCGUAGUCUUAACCAUAAACUAUGCCGACUAGGGAUCGGACGGCGUUUCUUUAGAUGACCCGUUCGGCACCUUACGAGAAAUCAAAGUUUUUGGGCUCUGGGGGGAGUAUGGUCGCAAGGCUGAAACUUAAAGAAAUUGACGGAAGGGCACCACAAGGCGUGGAGCCUGCGGCUUAAUUUGACUCAACACGGGAAAACUCACCAGGUUAACCUUCAACCGUUACACGUCUGGGCCUGGUUUAACAAACAGUGCUGGUCCAGCCAGUGCAACACCCGCUGGUACAGGGGACGCUUAGGGCCGAUCCUGUAGCGAGUCUGCCUAUGGUGGACCGUUGCAACGCACAGCAAGCGGUGGGCCGUUACAAGUUACCUUGAUUAAACGGUCGUGGUAUAUGCUGAUCUCAUGGGAUGGCCAUGCUCUUCUGUUGAGAGGAUGACCCGAAGCAGAAGAGGUUUUUUAACAAAGGAAACAGUUCAAUCGAUGCCAGACAUAAGGAGGAUUGACAGAUUGAGAGCUCUUUCUUGAUUUUAUGGGUGGUGGUGCAUGGCCGUUCUUAGUUGGUG
rnacentral:rRNA from 1 species